GACUCUGAAAAUAAAGUGUAUGAAAACGAUUCAAAACAAUGGACACUGGGAAACUGAUUUACUGAAUAUCAUGUUUAGAUGAAAAUAGAAUACUGACAAUUUUCUAAUGGAAUAUUAUGUUAAUUGACAACCAUUUAAUGGAUUCGUAGCAUAUGACAUGCAAUUCGUCAUUGAUGUCAGAUGAGAUGAGCAACAAAACUACAUUGGGAAAUCCUUUACAAUAAAACAAAUUGAAAGAACAUGAUACCUUCAAGAGUACAACUGGAAUGGUUCCACACUACGCAAUGAUGAAGGAGAAUUUCAUGAUUGAAAAAUCCCUGAAGAAUUAUUUUUUUUGUUUUUUUGUAGAUUGCUCUAAAUGUGUCUGAACAAUCAAUUCAAAUAACCGGUACCAUUAAAUAGGACGGAUAGAAAAAAAAUAUCAUCACAUAUUUUUCAUAUGAAUCG
rnacentral:lncRNA from 1 species